CAUUAUAUUUUUCUUAUACGUUUUAUCAAAGAACCUUUACAAGUAAAAAAUUCUAUAAAUAAGAACGUAUGAAAAAUAUUCAAAUGGACUAGAAAACAAAGAAAAAAAAACUUUUUGCGCGAGAGUCUUUUACGAGUAUGGAUUUCAACUCUCAAUGAAAGCACCAAUUUGUGGAUGCAAAUUUUCUCCUCCUCGAUCUUGGACGAUUUUGCACCUACAAACCAACUAACACCUUAUGUUAAGGCCAAAAGCCUCACAUGCCCACGAUGAAUUGGGGGGGGCUUUGGCCGAAGAACCUCCGAUGCCAAAGUUAGAAUUUUAGAGAGAAAAACUGUUUAGAGUGUUUAGGAUUUUUUGCAAGAGGAUUGGAAUGAAUUUUUGGUGAGAAUAGGUGCCUAUUUAUAGGGUUAGGCCUUGCCCAAUUUUGAAUAAAGGUAACCAGCCACUAAAGGGUUUUUUUGGGGUUCAAUUUCAUGUUUAAUUAGCCAAUUUAUUGGCUAAUUAAAUAUGAAAAGAAUAAAUGGGUGAUUAUAAAAAUAAAUGACUAUUUUAAUAAGGAAAAUGGGAAAGGUGAGGAUGGGAAUGCUGGCCGGCUUUGACUAUUAAUUUGGGUGAUUUUAUUGACUAUUAAGGAUGAUUUUAGGAGAUAUGGUAGGUAUAUAUUAUUUAGCU
rnacentral:lncRNA from 1 species